AAGCAAGAACAAAGCUUGUAACAUUUACAACAUUUAAAUCACAAACCAUGAAAAACACAAAACCCAAAAGGAUUCACCAUACACUAGACCUAGGCUCUGAUACCACUUGCACGAAAAUUUUUGUCCUAUCUAAGAACAUGUGAGAACAUUUGAACACAUAUGCAAACUAAUAACACUUUAAAGUAGGCAUGCAUUAAAAACCAAUUCUAAAACCCAUGACUUUCAAAGCCUAGUGAAUGGUGAACCACAAGACUCUUUAACAACAUUAAAGAGAAGAAAGGAUUUUGAGAUUCAUUACCCUUGAAGCUCAUCCUUGUUUACACAAGGGAUUCACCCAAGUGGAGGGCCUUCAAGUCACCUCCUAGCUCCUUGGAUCUUCCUUGUGUUUUUCUUCCUUUUGAUGCUCCUUUGCUCCUUGAGGAUGUGAGGAAAGGAUCUCCAAGAACACCAAAGAUUUGGUGUCUCUAAGUCUCCACACCAAGGAUGAGGUGUGAAGAUGAAAUGGAUGACUUAGAGAAGAAAAGAUUGCUAGCUAAUUCUUCUCUAAGUGGCCGGCCUCCUUUUAGAGAAAAAGAGAGAAAGUGUUUCUCUUCUUUGCCUCAAGCUAAUUCUUCUCUAAGUGGCCGGCCUCCAAAUUAAUAUAUCAUAUAUAUUUAAAUUUUAGGAACAUGAUUAACUCCCACUAACCUUUUGUAAACCUAGUAAACAAAAGAUUCAUUUACAUCUUUAUGAGAAAUCAAACGAUUUGAUCCUUUUCUCAUAAGAUGCUUAUAGCUCCCACUAGCUUGCUAAGAUUCAUGAUGGUUGGAUCUCUACAACUUAUAUGUCUUAUGAUUCAUAGUUUUAGACAUAUAUAUUAUCAAGACUAUCUUAAUAAUGGUUUCGGAAACCCAUAUAAUGUCCAAACAUUGAAUCACCAUUUAGUUGUAGCUAGCUAUCUUCGAAUUAAUUGAAAAACAAGACUACGUCAAAGAUGGUUUCUUCAAAGUCAACCAUUCUCUUUGAUUGCAGUCACCUUAAGCUACCAAUUAGCUUAUGAAGGUUUCAUUAUUUCGGGUCAAAUGGUACUUUACC
rnacentral:lncRNA from 1 species